CUGUGUGUGUUUGGCCCUCUUCAGACUGCUGUGUGUGUUUGUGUUUGGCCCUCUUCAGACUGCUGUGUGUGUGUGUGUGUGUGUGCGAAUGACGUCAUGUGUGUGUGUGUGUUCGUUCCUGUGUUCUCUGUCUGACCCGAGUGGCCCUUCUCCAAUGUGAAUCUGUUUAAUGUGAGACAGCCAGACUCUUCUCAGACUGCCUUUACUAAUCCUUAAGUUUGGCGUACUCUUAACACAGAGCCUUUGCAGUACACUCCUGUGUGGUAGGGAUGCAUCUGAAUCCGAAUACUGUUGUUCUGGAAAGCACAAAUAAUGUAAAUAGAUGUUUAUUAGAAGGGUAGCUAAGGUUUCACACAAUGCCAUUGAUUGAAAACAUCUUAUGUAGGCAUUCAAUAAUAGCAUUUCAAUAUAAAUAAUAGUAGGCCUACUAAACAUUUCAAAGCCAAAUUUGGAAAUGAAUUUAAGCAUAUAAUGAUAAGCUUUAUCUCGUAAUUGUGUUACUCUCAAGAAUUUUUCAAUUAUUUCAAACAACCUUAGCUUAGCUAUCAUGCUUCAUACCGUAGACCUAUGUAUUUUGAUGAUAUUUGAUAUGUGAUCAUUUGAAAUUCAUUCAGAUUAUUCAAUUCAAUCCAGUUCAGAUGAUGUACAUAACAAGUAAAAGACAAAAAAAAAUAGUGUCUUGGAAAUAGCAGCAGGUCUCUUUGUAUGUAUGUAACACAUUUUUGAAUUUAUAUAUAUAUAAUGAGUAUCUACACAAAUCAAUUCAAACAUAUAUAAUUGUUGUUUCAUAAUGCUUCAAUCUUUAAAUGUUCAGAGUUGUUUCUAGUAAGAGAAUGAUUUUGUUGCCUGCGAAAUGUGUUUGUUUGGUUGCCAUGGUUUUAUGUGAAGUAUGCACUCAGCAAAAACUGCCAGAUGAUCACACUUUUGUGUGUUCACUAACUUGCCAUGUCUCUCAAAUACCCUCGUCUGUAACCUACUGUCAGGUCAGAAUCUCACCGUUUAAAUCAUGAAGCUCCACUCAGCUUUGGAGAUCGAUCUGCUAUGUCUCAUUGAUCCAACUGCUGUGUCUUUUUUGGCAGUGAAUUUGUAAAAAGGUCUUACUUUUGAUGGUGGUUUUACACAAACCUCACAGCUCAUAUACCUGUUUGAAUGAUGUCUUAUGUCUCCUUUGUCUCUUAUUGGUGGUGAAUUUGUAGCAUUCUCUCAUACACCAAUCUCACUGAUGGUGGUUUAUAGUUUCAAAAGUGGAGAUGUCAGUCUCCUUGAUUUGGGUUGUAGAACGAUAUCAUAUAUCACCCCGUAUGCCAAUCUCAGUGAGUUGAGUAAUAUCAUCCAUCUCCUAUAAAUCAAUCUCAGUGAUGUGAGUUGUGUAAUAUCAUCUAUCUCCUAUAAACCAAUCUCAGUGAUGCGAGUUGUGUAAUAUCAUCUAUCUCCUAUAUGCUAAUCUCAGUGAGUUGUGUAAUAUAAUGCAUCUCCUAUAGGCCAAUCUCAGUGAUGUGAGUUGUAUAAUAUCAUCCAUCUUCUAUAAGCCGAUCUCAGUGAUGUGAGUUGUAUAAUAUCAUCUAUCUCCUAUAAGCCAAUCUCAGUGAUGUGGGUUGUGUAAUAUCAUAUCAUAUGUCUGUCUCAUUGAUGGCGAGUUUGUAGCAUUUCUUGUAUCAGUCUUGCUGACAGCAGUUUGGACAUUCUGCCAUGGACCUAAAGUCAUGUUGAUUGUAUAUUUUUUGCAAUUUGUCUGGAGACUGCUUGUGUGUAUUCUUUGAUAUCACGUUCAUGACUGUGUAUCUUUGUUAUCAUGUUGUUAUCAUGACUAUUUUAGGGCUUCCGCCAAAGAUUAAAGCUCUGACUUCCUCU
ensembl:lncRNA